AUUCGUUACGUGUGAUCAGUAUAGUGCAGUUUGCAGAUGGCAGAUACUUCAGUAACCCCAAAGGUUGGAAUUUGAAAACAAUAUUCCUGUUUCGGACCAGUACUAAAGGAUCUAUUGACCUGGUCCAUGUCCAUCCUGAAGACGAGGACGAGCUGGUGGUCAUCAAGAAAGCUGUCACCAGUUUCUUCUCUGUUACCGUCAGGGUAUACACUGAGACACUAAAUGCAAAUAUUCAACGUUAGAAAAAAAAGCAUUAUGAUCUCUGAGAAAAAUGAUGUCAUUGGAUGUAAAAGGCCAAAUACAUAUAGAAAUCACAUGCAUGGCUAUAAAAAUAUAGAUAUUAUCAUAAACACUUGCCAGCGAUGAGCUAAUUCAUUUUAUAUAAUGCAUGUUUUUAGAUUUAACAUGU